GAUGAACGCUGGCGGCGUGCUUAACACAUGCAAGUCGAACGGAAAGGCUCCUGCUUGCAGGGGUACUUGAGUGGCGAACGGGUGAGUAACACGUGGGUGAUCUGCCCUGCACUUCGGGAUAAGCCUGGGAAACUGGGUCUAAUACCGGAUAGGACGAUGGUUUGGAUGCCAUUGUGGAAAGUUUUUCGGUGUGGGAUGAGCUCGCGGCCUAUCAGCUUGUUGGUGGGGUAAUGGCCUACCAAGGCGUCGACGGGUAGCCGGCCUGAGAGGGUGUACGGCCACAUUGGGACUGAGAUACGGCCCAGACUCCUACGGGAGGCAGCAGUGGGGAAUAUUGCACAAUGGGCGCAAGCCUGAUGCAGCGACGCCGCGUGGGGGAUGACGGCCUUCGGGUUGUAAACUCCUUUCGCUAGGGACGAAGCGUUUUGUGACGGUACCUGGAGAAGAAGCACCGGCUAACUACGUG
rnacentral:rRNA from 1 species